rnacentral:sRNA from 1 species
GAAGGAUCAUUACCAAGAGAAAUCUUUCAACACUGAAAGAUCUUUUCCUUUGUGCUGGCUUUGACCGUAUGUAAUUUUGGGACUUUAAAAUGGUUCGCAAGGGCCGGUCCCAAAAACAAUAUAUCAUCCUUAUGAAAUUUUUUCUGAACAAUUAAACAAAAUGAUUUUAAUAAUCUGUUUAAAACAACUUUCAACAACGGAUCUCUUGGUUCUCGCAUCGAUGAAGAACGCAGCGAAAUGCGAUACGUAAUGUGAAUUGCAGAAUUCAGUGAAUCAUCGAAUCUUUGAACGCACAUUGCACUCCUUGGUAUUCCGAGGAGUAUGCCUGUUUCAGUAUCAUGAGCACUCUCACACCUAACCUUUGGGUUUAUGGCGUGGAAUUGGAAUGCGCCGACUGUCAUGGUUGGCCCUUCUAAAAUGUAGUUCUUGGCUGUCACCUAAUACAGCAGUUUGGCCUAAUAGUUUUGGCAUUCAUUGUCAAAUCUUUGGCUAACAUUUGCUCCAGGAGUCAGUCUUGAUAAUACAGAAAACUCAUUCAAAUUUUGAUCUGAAAUCAGGUAGGGCUACCCGCUGAACUUAAGCAUAUCAAUAAGCGGAGGAAAAGAAACUAACAAGGAUUCCCCUAGUAACGGCGAGUGAAGCGGGAAGAGCUCAAAUUUAAAAUCUGGUUUGCUUUGCAAAUCCGAGUUGUAGUCUGAAGAAACGUUUUCCAUGAAAGCUGAGGCACAAGUCCUUUGGAACAGGGCAUCAUAGAGGGUGAGAAUCCCGUCCAUGGUCUCAAGCCUUUCAUUUUGUGAUACGUUUUCUAAGAGUCAGGUUGUUUGGGAAUGCAGCCUAAAAUGGGUGGUAAAUUUCAUCUAAAGCUAAAUAUUGGCGAGAGACCGAUAGCGAACAAGUACCGUGAGGGAAAGAUGAAAAGAACUUUGAAAAGAGAGUUAAAAAGUACGUGAAAUUGUUGAAAGGGAACCGUUUGAAGCCAGUCUUGCUUGCUUGUGAUCAAUCUUUGCUUCGGCUUGGAUGCACUCUCAGGUUAUGCAGGUCAACGUCAGUUUGAGAGGUGGGAAAAAAGCUUGAGGAAUGUGGCCUUCGGGUGUUAUAGCCUCUUGCUAAAUACCAUCUUUUGGACUGAGGCUCGCAGCAAAAAUGUGGGCAGGUUUGCGUUUGAGGUGAUACAUUAUUAAGACAGCUUGCUGACUUAGUUUUGUCUAUCUUCACUGUAAGCUUCGCUUCUAAUUUGCUUAGG